UCGGCGCCUCAGCCGCCGCCGGCCCGGGGCCGCCGCACUCACGCUGGCGGGAGCGCGCCGCAGGGAACGCGGCCGCAGCCCGGCGUCAGUGCCCUCACACCGGGGGGAACCCGCCGCAGGGAACGCGGCCGCAGCCCGGCGUCAGUGCCCUCACACCCGGGGGAACCCGCCGCAGCAAACGCGGCCGCAGCCCCGCAGACGCAAUCUCUCCCCUCAGGGCCCGCUUAGGCCGCUGCCCGCGGCUGGGACGGGAGGGGCGGAUCACGCCGCCAAGAGCUUUAGCUGCGUUUUGUCCAAGACAAUGGGCUCUCCGUGCUUAUUGGCUUCGUUAGAAGAUUCUGGUAAAAGAAAACCCGCACAGCUUAUGCGCAAGGCUUUCCUGUUCAUCUAAGCCGACAUUGCCACCUCGCGCUGGUAGGAGAUUAAUUUUGUGGCUAAAGAAUAAGCUUCUCCAUCAUCUUGGGAGCUGCUAAGUUCCAACAGCUUUACAAAGGUGAAAGUGUGUGGUUGCAUUUGGUCUCCAGGGGAAAGGAAAAAUCUGCUUUCUGCAAUCA